rnacentral:rRNA from 1 species
GGUAUGUAAAGCUCUAUCAGCAGGGAAGAAACUGACGGUACCUGACUAAGAAGCCCCGGUUAACUACGUGCCAGCAGCCGCGGUAAUACGUAGGGGGCAAGCGUUAUCCGGAUUUACUGGGUGUAAAGGGAGCGUAGACGGCGAAGCAAGUCUGGAGUGAAAACCCAGGGCUCAACCCUGGGACUGCUUUGGAAACUGUUUUGCUAGAGUGUCGGAGAGGUAAGUGGAAUUCCUAGUGUAGCGGUGAAAUGCGUAGAUAUUAGGAGGAACACCAGUGGCGAAGGCGGCUUACUGGACGAUAACUGACGUUGAGGCUCGAAAGCGUGGGGAGCAAACAGGAUUAGAUACCCUGGUAGUCCACGCCGUAAA